CAGCAGCCACGGGAAUACGGAGGGGGCUAGCGUUGUUCGGAAUUACUGGGCGUAAAGCGCACGUAGGCGGCUUGGUAAGUUAGAGGUGAAAGCCCGGAGCUCAACUCCGGAAUUGCCUUUAAGACUGCCGAGCUAGUAGGUGAGAGAGGUAAGUGGAAUUCCGAGUGUAGAGGUGAAAUUCGUAGAUAUUCGGAAGAACACCAGUGGCGAAGGCGGCUUACUGGCUCAUUCUAGACGCUGAGGUGCGAAAGCGUGGGGAGCAAACAGGAUUAGAUACCCCUGUAGUCCCUGUCUCUUAUAC
rnacentral:rRNA from 1 species